UACGUAGGGUGCUAGCGUUGUCCGGAAUUAUUGGGCGUAAAGAGCUCGUAGGCGGUUUGUCGCGUCUGCCGUGAAAGUCCGGGGCUCAACUCCGGAUCUGCGGUGGGUACGGGCAGACUAGAGUGAUGUAGGGGAGACUGGAAUUCCUGGUGUAGCGGUGAAAUGCGCAGAUAUCAGGAGGAACACCGAUGGCGAAGGCAGGUCUCUGGGCAUUAACUGACGCUGAGGAGCGAAAGCAUGGGGAGCGAACAGG
rnacentral:rRNA from 1 species